UACGAAGGGGGCGAGCGUUGUUCGGAAUUACUGGGCGUAAAGGGCGCGCAGGCGGCCUCUUGAGGCCAGAUGUGAAAGCCCCGGGCUCAACCUGGGAAUGGCAUUUGAUACUCGAGGGCUUGAGUACGGGAGAGGAGAGUGGAAUUCCCAGUGUAGAGGUGAAAUUCGUAGAUAUUGGGAAGAACAACGGUGGCGAAGGCGGCUCUCUGGACCGUAACUGACGCUGAGGCGCGAAAGCGUGGGGAGCAAACAGG
rnacentral:rRNA from 1 species